rnacentral:rRNA from 1 species
GAUGAACGCUGGCGGCGUGCCUAACACAUGCAAGUCGAACGGAACUUUUACGGAUUGAGACUUCGGUCGAUUGAAGUUUAAGUUUAGUGGCGGACGGGUGAGUAACGCGUGAGUAACCUGCCUUUCACAGGGGGAUAACGUUUGGAAACGAACGCUAAUACCGCAUAACAUAGCGAGGUCGCAUGGCUUUGGGCAUCCUUAGUCAAUUAAAGAAUUUCGGAAACGGAUAGGCUCGCGUGACAUUAGCUAGAUGGCGGGGUAACGGCCCACCAUGGCGACGAUGUCUAGGGGUUCUGAGAGGAAGGUCCCCCANACUGGAACUGAGACACGGACCAGACUCCUACGGGAGGCAGCAGUGAGGAAUAUUGGUCAAUGGACGCAAGUCUGAACCAGCCAUGCCGCGUGCAGGAUGACGGCUCUAUGAGUUGUAAACUGCUUUUGUACAAGGGUAAACCUCGGUACGUGUACCGAGCUGAAAGUACUGUACGAAUAAGGAUCGGCUAACUCCGUG